GCGGCUCACCUCUUGGUUGGCCCUCAGGAAGCUUAUUACUUAUUUACUUGGUGUAGGAAGUAUAUUGGUCUAGGUGGGGCCAGAAUGAGGCAUAACAAUGUACUUAAUGCUUUUCUGUAUUUUCAGUAUUAUCCUUGUCCCAAAGGAGGUCUCUUCCAGGGAAUUUACUAGACAGUGGCAUUAAGCCACAUUAGAUGAGAGCAUUGUUGAGAUUAUAUGAAGGGGUUGGGGAUAGAGGUAGGAUCACUAUAUGGGAUACCCAUUUGUUCCAGGGCAGACCAUCACAGGGAAUUGGGAAAGGAGUGAUUCCUCGCUUUGGAAAUAACUCUGAUAGUGUUCCUUAGUCAGUAGGAAGUGUCCCUGCAAGUGUCCCUUUACAUAAGAGCCAUACUUUUAUAGUAGAAAGCUAAAAGAAUAUUUUAAGAUGUAACUCAAAGGUGAAAGCACUCUAUAUUUUCAAGGAGGAAAAGAUACUUGAUUAGGACUGGGGGGCCCUAGACCACCUCUGACAUACUUUUUUUUUAAAUUUUAUUUAUUCACUUAAUAUCUCAAUAUCAACUCCCCCCCCCCCCAUUCUCCCAGUACCCUCUCCCUUUCUCCUCUGAGAAGGGAGCCCCCCUCUGGGUAUCACCCCCACAACCCCCAAACACAUCCUCUCCCACUGAGGCCAGACAAGGUGACCCAGUUAGGGGAACAGGAUCCAGAGGCAGGCUAAAAAAUAUGGAACGGUUCAUGGAUUUGCAUGUCAUCCUUGCACAGGGACCAUGCUAAUCUGUACCAUUCCAGUUUUAGUGUAUGUGCUGCCAAAGCGAUUACUCUGCCAUGUUUUCUAUUCUCUGUGUAGCUAGGACCUCAGUUUCUUCAUAUGUGGCACGUGAUGACAUCUGGUAAGUGAAUUAAAACAUACAAGCUGAGCAGAGUAGCAGCCACCUGAAAUCCUAGCACUCGGGCAGCAAACAUAAUAGUUAAAAAAGAAACAUGCAGAUGCCUAGAUCAGUGAUAGGAAUUCUCAGUUCACCUGAUUUCUACAGAUUCUGUCUUUGAAACCAGAUAUGGUGGUCAUGUACCACCAUCUAAGCUGCUCUGUGCAGUGAGACAGGAGGAUGACCAGGAGGCGCUUGCCAAUGCAGGGUCUGCCUGGAUACCAGACGAUUUCCCUUUCUUAAAAAUGAAAGAGCCAGGCAGUGGUGGCGCUCGCCUUUAAUCCCACCACUCAGGAGGCAGAGACAGGUGGAUUUCUGAGUUCGAGGCCAGCCUGGUCUACAGAGUGAGUUCCAGGACAGCCAGGGCCACACAGAGAAACCCUGUCUUGAAAAACCAAAAAACAAAAAUGAAAGAAAGUGGUAGACAUAGUGUCACAUAACCUAUUUUCCCAGUAUUUAGAAGGUUCAGGUCGAGUUUAAGGCCAGCCUGUGUGAAAUAAGCAAGACCCUGUCUUAAAUCUUCAUUUAGGUGGUUUUGUUUUUUGUUGUUUUUUAAUUUCAUUAAGAGGAGCCCAUUAGUUCUGUUUAUCAGUGUCAGAUGUACCUGGAACAACGUUGGUGAUAUGAGUUGAUUUUUGUUCAUGGGGAAUGGUCGGUCUUACCAGUGAACUAUCAAGAGAUUAAGGAAGUGGGUCAGCACAAACGCUCGCCGGGAAGCACGCCCUGCUCUUGCUGCCUCUGCUCCCACUGCUAAUGCGGAGGCCAUGAACUGUUCAUAAGACACUACAGGGCGUAGUUACUACUCUUCCUGAAACUUGCAUAUAUGUUGAAAAGUGGACCUGUAAAUCUGCUCUCUCUAGUAUGCUUGGAUUUAUCUUUGGGAUCUUGCAGUCACCUUUUGAGUUUAGAAUAUAUUUUAGCUAUCCAUGUUAUUUAGUGUUCAUCCUCAGUCUUUUAUUACUGUACAUUCUUUUUCCUUGAAAAAUGGUUUCUGAGAUAAAAAAUGAACCAGAAUUGGCCUUCUGAUAGUUAUUCUUGUCAUUGAUUGGAUGAGACACAUCUAGGAGAUUAGUAAAAACGUAGCUCUGGGUAUGUCUGUGAGAGUGUCCCUUUUUUCCUAUUUAAAAUGUUAUUGUUUGUAUGAAUAGUGGUGCGUGGACAUGCCAAGUUAAAGUCAGGACAACUGGAAAUGAUUCUCGCCUAACCUUUGUGGGUCUCAGUGGGCCAUUAGAAGAAGUAGGUCAUAGACAGCAUACCUUUUAAAUUUUUUCUAUGAAUUUUCUUUUCUUUUUUUUUUUUAGUUUUUUUAAGACAGGGUUUUACUGUGUGACCCUGGCUGUCCUGGAACUCACUAUGUAGACCAGGCUGGCCACGACCUCAGAAAUCUGCCUGCCUCUGCCUCCCGAGUGCUGGGAUUAAAGGUGUGUGCCACCACCACCCGGCCAGCUUUUUUUUUUUUUUUUUUUUUUUAGAAUUUUUUUUUUAAUUAGGUAUUUUCCUCGUUUAGCCAAUUUAGCUUUUUAAGAGUGCUCUCUCUGCAUAUACACCUGCAUGCCAGAAGAGGGCACCAGAUCCCAGUAUAGAUGGUUGUGAGCCACCAUAUUGUUGCAUGUAUGAGUGUUUUGCUGGGAUCUAUGUCUGUGCAUCAUGUGUGUACCUGGCGCCUGAGGGGGUUUAGGAGAGCAUGCCAAAUCUUCUGGAACUGGAGUUAACGG
rnacentral:lncRNA from 1 species